rnacentral:pre_miRNA from 1 species
AAUAAACCAAUUUUUCACUUUUUACCUUUGAUUUUUGACUCUUCGUCUUAUUUAAAUUUUUUUACGAUUGACAUUUUUAUUUUUAUUAGAUGAUAAAUCAUAAAUAGUACUUUACAUGUGACUAAUUUUUUUCUAAUUUCCUAAAAUUUUUUUAAAUAAGACGGAUGGUAAAACGUUGGACACGGAAACCAAAAAAUUCGUUUUUU